rnacentral:lncRNA from 1 species
UCUGUUUCUGGCCUAGCCACAGGGUAUAAGUGUGGUCGUAGCUAAAGGCUGAUGAGAUGAAUGUGAUUUGUUUCGAAUCAGAUUUAUGAUUAUGUAUAUAGAUAUUUGAAAGAUACGAAUUUCAAUGAAUUUGUGCUUGAAAAGGAAUUGAUUAUGUUAUUAUGUUGAUUCAUCGUAAUUUGUAUUUAUAUUUUAUGUUAGUAUAUGAAUUGACUAAUUAAGGUGUUUAUUACUUACUGGGCUGUCUAGCUCAUUAUACGAUUUCUUACUGUUUUUACAGAUCCGAAGAAUUAGCUCGAUCCGGAGGUUUUACAAUAUGGGAGAGCGAAUACAAGAAUUUUGACACAAGUUAUCUUAGAUUAGGUUUUAUUUAAGUUAAUGUUCUAUCUUUAUUGUUCCGCUGCGCAUUGAGAACUGUGAAACUUUAUAAUUUGUGUCAGUCAAUGGAAUAAGAUUGCAUUUAUUUCAGCUGAAUUAUUUUAGUUAUAUAUAUUUGAGAUAUUUGGUUUAGAUGCCUUGCAUGCUCGUGGGGAGAGUUCCCUACGGGUGUGCGGCGGUUGGCGCGACCCCCGGCUCGCGAUCUCGGGCCGGGGGCGUGACA